GAUGAACGCUGGCGGCGUGCCUAAUACAUGCAAGUCGAGCGAACGGACGAGAAGCUUGCUUCUCUGAUGUUAGCGGCGGACGGGUGAGUAACACGUGGAUAACCUACCUAUAAGACUGGGAUAACUUCGGGAAACCGGAGCUAAUACCGGAUAAUAUUUUGAACCGCAUGGUUCAAAAGUGAAAGACGGUCUUGCUGUCACUUAUAGAUGGAUCCGCGCUGCAUUAGCUAGUUGGUAAGGUAACGGCUUACCAAGGCAACGAUGCAUAGCCGACCUGAGAGGGUGGUCGGCCACACUGGAACUGAGACACGGUCCAGACUCCUACGGGAGGCAGCAGUAGGGAAUCUUCCGCAAUGGGCGAAAGCCUGACGGAACAGCGCCGCGUGAGUGGUGAAGAUCUUCGGAUCGUAAAACUCUGUUAUUAGGGAAGAACAUAUGUGUAAGUAACUGUACACAUCUUGACGGUACCUAAUCAGAAAGCCACGGCUAACUACGUG
rnacentral:rRNA from 1 species